ACUGCGGGCAGAUUCUUGACCAUCUGAGCCACCAGGGAAUCCCUGGUCAUCUUCCCCAACUACUGACCAAAACAAAUUCUUCCCGCAACCUUUGCCCCGGAUGCAUCCAUUUUUGAGGAACAGGGAUUCAUCUAUUCUCAUGAAAUUUUUUUUUCCUUGAAAAAAUCCCAGAAUGUGGAAUAUAGGCCCUUGCCAGUUAGGAACGGAAGCCUCGGCAAGAGUCCCUCGGGUGUGCGCACGCCCAGCAAGCUCGGGGUCAGGCACGAGUGAACAUGAACUUUCACAGAGUCUGGAUAACAGAAAUGAGUUUCAAAAUAAAUAAAUCGGACAGACUUACACAUUUGGCAAAAAGACAUGAGAAACACAAUGACAGACAGAAGCCAGGCUGAUGGAGAGUGGCAACCACAGGAGGCUGUCCCUCCAGCCCCAUAGGCACGUCACCAAGCAAUUAAAGCACUGGACCCACGACAAAGACGUGGGUGUCCUGAAGCGAAGGAAGUCUUCAUUUCAGGGCACUUCAAAAGAUUACAGAACCACGCAACGUGAAGGCAAUCUCUGCUGUGAACCCAGGAGAGGCAACGUCGACCUAGAUCACUGGGCAAGAUGUGGCUUUAGAGGCCUGUUGGUGGAGCCCUUAGUGAGCAAGGAGCAGAGGGACCUCAGUGCCUGGAGUGUGACCGACAGGCCCCUUUCCAGCCCGUGUUCCUGGGAAGUCAGACCCUGGGGAGGGCUGCAGGAUGUGGGCCCAGGCCCAGAGCAGGACUAAGUCAGGCUGGGAAGAGCUGGGGGAGCCACCGGGAAGCGACUCCGCCUCUGGCCCGUGACUGUGGGUUUGUAUGGGGUAUGUUUAUGACCACAAGGCUCUGCGAAAUGACUAAUACAUAAAACAGCAAUUAAAGCUCUUCGGUUCCAUAAUUUUGCCCAUCAAAUCAAAGAAUCGCUUAGUUCACAAAAUUACAAUUUAUUUUCUGAUGAGGCUUAAUUUGUUAUUCUGAGUACGUUUUAAGGCCACAGUCCCCAACCUUUUAAGGGACUAGUUUCCUGGAAGACAGUUUUUCCACAUACCACAGGGUGGUGGGGGAUGGUUUCAG